CACAACAAUACAGAGAGGACAUAUUAGCAGAAGAGAUAUGGGUUAGGCAUAGGGCAUAAUUAGUUUAGGAUUUAGAGAAGGAACAUAAAGAGAUACGAAUGGAGGACAAAAAUUAGAUAGACAGCUAUACAUAUACACUACACGCAGAGAGAACACCAAAAUACUCAACCUCCCACAGUGACCCAUUUUUCAUCAACUUCACACCACCGUGAAACCACCAUAUAAACCCACCAAAGAACCGUCGUGAAAACUCCAUUCGAAUCAAAAUUGGUGAGUUUUGGGUUUGGGUAUUCCGAUCUAAGCAAGCAGGUUGAGUCGAGGGUGUUCGUUUGUUUGGUUCCAGUUAGUCGGAUUUGCCGUUCGAGUUUUUUUUCGGUCAGUAGCUCAUCGAGUUCGCGAGGCUCUCCAGUCGAGGUUUCCGAUCAAAGCUCUGGUUUAUGGUUUUUCUUGCUCAAACAUUGCUCAAUAGUGAUAUUCAAAGGAGGAUUGGAAAUUGUUGAUGAACAACCUCAAGAACUCUAUAUAAUUACAUGUUAUUUAAUCAUCUCAACCACAAUCUUUUGAAUCUAUGGCAAAGAAGUUGUAUUUGAUUUACGGAUUUGCGCGCCUGUGAGAUUUUUUUAUCUUGUUAUUGGCGUAUCAAAAGGACAAGCUGCUUAAUUUUGGUGAAAGUAGACUUCCAAGGCUACGACAUAUCCAUAAAUCAAAGCGAAACUCCUUCUGGAUUGACGAGAAUUAAUUUUAAAGUUGAGCUCCAAAUCUGCAUUUUCUUCUCUCAGCACAGUGCAGUCCCACGGAAAACUCCAUAUCUUGAUAUUGGAGUGUCCAAAUGACGAGCAACUUGAUUAUUUAGAGAGAAGACAUAAAAGGCUACGACAUAACCGAAAAUACCAAUGAAACUCCUUCUAUAUUGAUGGGAAUUAAUUUUGCAAAUUGAAUUCUAGAUCUGCGCAUUCUUUCUCUCAGCACUGUGUUGUCCCACGGAAAACUCCAUAUCUUGAGAUUGGAGUGCCGAAGUGACUGGCGACUUGAUUAUGUAUAAAGUAGAAUUCUAAGGAUAAGACAUAUCCAAAAGUCAAAGCGAAAAGCCUUCUGGAUUGACGGAAUUUAAUUUUAAAGUUGAACUCCAAAUCUGCGUUUUCUUCUCUGAACUCUGUGCAAUCUCAUGAAAAACUCCAUAUCUUGAGAUUGGAGUGUCCAAAUGGUGAGAGGCUUGAUUCGGAAUAUAUUAGACUUCGAAGGCUAUGAUAUAUCCAAAAACAAAAGUCAAACUCUUUCAGGAUUGACGGGAAUAAUUUUUGAAUUCGGCGACAUAAUCUGGCAUGCCUUACUUUGGACAGGAUUCAUGAGCGCUUUUUUUUUGUUUGUUCCUUUUUUGUAGGUCUGUAUGAGGGUGUAAACGGUCUCGAUUUCAGACUGAGAAGAUGCACGCAACGUCACAACCCUCUGUUGAAGGAAGAUCAAACAAAAUCCCCGCGGCACUGGAAGGACCUUCAUAGUUCAUCAUCGUUGAUUGGCGAGGAACUACAUGGAGUGCCGUCUGUUCGAAUUCGAUGAAACUUGUUUCAUUACUCUAUUCAUCUUUGGUGAGAGGCGACUUAGUGGAUCCAUCUUUGGUGGUUUUAUUUUACUUCAGCAAAGAAUAACUUGGUGCUUGCUCUUUCCUUGCGGUGUUGGUAGAGAAUACUUGGAGUAGCCUUUUCCAACCUUGGGGUUAAAGCUUAUGGAGAAUCUCAUCCAUGGGACUUACGGAAGAAGCAUAUGUGACGUCAUCUUCUCAUACAUUUAGGAAGGCGUAGGGAGAACGAUUCAUCCUUUAACCUCUGGUGUUGACAACCUCUUCUUUUGACCUAGUGAAUCUCGAUCAGAAUUUGGACUUUGAAAUAGAGUAGGUACCCAUCUUGGACAGGCAGAUUCGGAAGUUAAGGUCCAAAGAAUUAGUUUCAGAAAAGGUUCAAUGGAGGCAUCAUCUGGUUGAGGAGGCUACCUAGGUAACCGAGUCAGAUACGCGGAUUAGUUAUCCCCAGUUUUUCAGCGAUUCAGACUAGUGUGGUUGUGGUAUCGUAAACAAGCCCUCGUCUCCAUUCCGGAAAGGCUCAGUCAAUGAUUCUGCUGAGUACCUGUUGAUUAUUGUACUCAGGCUACACUUGCUGCACCUUUUUGUGUGCAAACUCGGUCCCUAGUACUAGUGGAGCAUGUGACUACCAGGUUGCCCGUUAGAGCCCUUGUUGAGAGAUUGGGGCGAGCACUAUGGUUCUGGAUUGCUUCGGACUCUUCCUUAGCAUUCACUCUCUGUCGUUCUCCAUUUCGGACAGUUUCAUUAUGUAUUUCAGACUAUUUUACUCUUUAGAGGUCCUUGUAUGCGAGUGACAUCAGAUUUUGGGUUUAUGUGUAAUAACUUCUAAGUAUUUUAUCAAAUAUUGCUUAAGACUUGAAAA